rnacentral:lncRNA from 1 species
UUUUUUUUUCAUGACUGACUUUGUCAUUCAGUCUCCAAGGGCACUGGGUUAUGGCUCUUAUUAACUGGGAAAUCAUCUUAAUGCAUUCACUUUGUAGACAAAAUGGAAAUCCUGGAGACAUGAAAAGCAUUGGCCUGAGCCUUAUGCCCAGAAAGUAGGCUGCUAGAAUGCACAUCUUCUGAUUUCCAAGCCAGUAGGUUGUUGAAGGAAGCCUCAAGAUGGUUNNNNNNNNNNNNNNNNNNNNNNNNNCUGCUGACUCCCACCCCAUAUUACACCCUUGUGUGAUCCACUUUGUGGGUCAAAAUGUGACAACUUUGAGGGUCAGCUGAGCCUACUUUCAACCUGGUUCUAGUGAAGCAGAGUACAGCAGAAGCCAUGAGAUAUCACUGCCAAGAUUACAUUGCAAAAAGACUGAGGCACCUUCUCUCUACCUCCCCAGGCAUUUAAUAAAGAUGUUGAUAGCCACAAGACUUGUUUCAUCCAUAAACUGGAACCUUGGGAUGGGAGGAAAAAGUGGUACAAGACUGGACCCCACCUUUGCAGUGAAGAUUGGUAGACUUAGGUAUUCAGCAAGCAACAACCUUCUUUGUAUCUGGGAUCUACAGACAUGAAUAUCCACUUGCACACAGAUGACUUCAGUUUCCUCAUUCCCACCAAAAGUGGGGCCCCCUGUGAGUGCAGGGGAGGUGGCCCCCUCCUUCCUGGAGCAGCUGGGUGGAUUCUCACUGAGGCCAGCCGUCCAUCAACCUGACUUCUUCCGGCUUCCUCUGCACAAUGGCUCCCUAGAGCCCCCGUGA